GGUCAUGAGUGGCAGCGUGAAGCCCUGGCUGGCUGCCCGGCAACCCAACUCCGCGUGGGGUGCCCCAGGUGAGGACCGGGUUCGACACCACGAGGUGUCGGGCAAGGCGCG
rnacentral:ncRNA from 1 species